rnacentral:rRNA from 1 species
AGGCAGCAGUAGGGAAUUUUGCGCAAUGGGGGAAACCCUGACGCAGCAACGCCAUGUGUGGGAUGAAGCAUUUCGGUGUGUAAACCACUGUCAGUAGGGAAUAAACGGCGGUCCAAGGGACCGCUUUGAAUGUACCUACAAAGGAAGCGCCGGCUAACUUCGUGCCAGCAGCCGCGGUAAUACGAGGGGCGCAAGUGUUGUUCGGAAUCACUGGGCGUAAAGGGAGCGUAGGCGGGCUUUUAAGUUAGGUGUUUAAUCCCGGGGCCCAACCCCGGACCGGCACCUAAAACUGGGAGUCUUGAAUAGUGGAGAGGUCAGUGGAAUUGGGGGUGUAGCGGUGGAAUGCGUAGAGAUCCCCAAGAACACCAGUUGCGAAGGCGGCUGACUGGACACAUAUUGACGCUGAGGCUCGAAAGCAUGGGGAGCAAACAGGAUUAGAUACCCUGGUAG